rnacentral:rRNA from 1 species
GAUGAACGCUGGCGGCGUGCUUAACACAUGCAAGUCGAACGGGAAAUACUUUAUUGAAACUUCGGUCGAUUUAAUUUAUUUCUAGUGGCGGACGGGUGAGUAACGCGUGGGUAACCUGCCUUAUACUGGGGGAUAACAGCCAGAAAUGGCUGCUAAUACCGCAUAAGCGCACAGAACCGCAUGGUUCCGUGUGAAAAACUCCGGUGGUAUAAGAUGGACCCGCGUUGGAUUAGCUAGUUGGCAGGGCAGCGGCCUACCAAGGCGACGAUCAGUAGCCGGCCUGAGAGGGUGAACGGCCACAUUGGGACUGAGACACGGCCCAAACUCCUACGGGAGGCAGCAGUGGGGAAUAUUGCACAAUGGGGGAAACCCUGAUGCAGCGACGCCGCGUGAGCGAAGAAGUAUUUCGGUAUGUAAAGCUCUAUCAGCAGGGAAGAAGAAUGACGGUACCCGACUAAGAAGCACCGGCUAAAUACGUG